UGGUGGGUUGCCUUGUCAGGUUGAUUCCGGUAACGAACGAGACCUCAGCCUGCUAAAUAGUCACGUCUGCCUCGGCAGAUGGCCGACUUCUUAGAGGGACUAUUGACGUUUAGUCAAUGGAAGUAUGAGGCAAUAACA
rnacentral:rRNA from 1 species